rnacentral:rRNA from 1 species
GAUGAACGCUGGCGGCGUGCUUAACACAUGCCAGUCGAACGGAAAGGCCCAAGCUUGCUUGGGUACUCGAGUGGCGAACGGGUGAGUAACACGUGGGUGAUCUGCCCUGUACUUCGGGAUAAGCCUGGGAAACUGGGUCUAAUACCGGAUAGGACCACAUUUUGGAUGGUGUGGUGGAAAGUUUUUCGGUGUGGGAUGAGCUCGCGGCCUAUCAGCUUGUUGGUGGGGUAAUGGCCUACCAAGGCGUCGACGGGUAGCCGGCCUGAGAGGGUGUACGGCCACAUUGGGACUGAGAUACGGCCCAGACUCCUACGGGAGGCAGCAGUGGGGAAUAUUGCACAAUGGGCGCAAGCCUGAUGCAGCGACGCCGCGUGGGGGAUGACGGCCUUCGGGUUGUAAACUCCUUUCGCUAGGGACGAAGCGUUAUGUGACGGUACCUGGAGAAGAAGCACCGGCUAACUACGUG